CCAUCAAUGAAGAUGAACACACUGCACGAGAGCUCCAUGUGAUUUGCAAAUGUUUUAUUGACCCGACCAGAACAAGCACCGGCACAACGGAAACAUAACAAAUGCGAGUAUAUACUGUCAGUGAAACGUCCGUAAACCUGUGAGAGACGCACAAAGGCAGAAGAGAAGCCGGUCAGUUUGUUAACUUGUGGCAUGCGCGCGUGUUGCUAUUAUAAAGGCUGACGCUGCACAGACGAGCAUCACUUUCAGAUCUGACAUUUACACCUUAGUCAGUCUCCAUGAGCCCGCCCUUUGAAACAGAAAUCUGGGAAUCCAAAAAAACAAACAAAUUCUACAUGUGCCGGAGCAGAUUUGGAUUUUUAGAGCGACUGAAAUAUCUCCCUGCUUGUUCCUUGUGUCGGGCCCAGCUGCAGAACCAGGUGGAGGAUGAUAUUUGGACUUGGAGUCAGUGCUGUCCAGUCGGUGCUCAGCGGAUACAGCACAGGUUUAGUAACUCAAAGGUCUGGGAUUCUGUAAAAUACAAAUAGCAUAAAAAGAGGUACUAUAUUGUUAGGCGUAAUAACACCUUAGGAGCACUUCGACGUCCGUGCGGUACAGUGAAGAUAUUCCUGCGCGGACGUCGAAGUGCUCUUAAGGUGUUAUUACGCCUAACAAUAUAGUCCCCCUCUUUAUCCACUUAGAAAAUCAACAUGUUUAAUUUUGUGUAACUAUACUUGGAUCGUGUAACUGUAUUUAAAUAGGGGAAACGUGGAAGAGCUUGGUCGCUUCUAACUUCACCCCAGUUUGGCCCCAUAGAGGAGAGGAGGAGAGGCUAAAUGCUAACAACAUCUGGUAUUUUUGUGUGACUGAGCGCACGCGUAAAGACCAGACAGGUACGCAUCAACUCGUCUAAGCUCAGGUAAGAACAUAUCUCGGUAUGGAAAAACAGUGGCCUGUUCCUUUAAGAAAAGGGAGCUAUGAUUUAAACAGUAAAUAAUCCGAGCUGAGACUCAAAGUCACAACACUGAGGAUGUAGUAAUAUUCUGCCAUAUGUGCAGCGCCUUAACCACUCGACUGUUGGAAACACAUUGUACUUUAUCUACAAACAAAUUAUAGAUUUAUUUCAUUGAUAAUUGUGUUUUUUAUCGAAUUUUUUAAAUCAAAAAUACUUUCUGUCUUUCUAGAAUAUCUUUAAAUCUUUGUCUUUGUGACAUUAGUUAAGAGCAUUUGCUGCAUUUUCACGGUUAGUUUAUGCACAUGUGUGAAAUAUCAGAAAGAAAUCAGAUUAUAUGAAUAUCAGUUUAUGCUGUUUACAUAAUCUGAGAACUCCAGAAAUCAGAUUACGAUCAGAUUCCAUAUAAACACGUGUAUUUUUUACAAACAUUUAUAUUUUAGAGCUGACUGAAGCACUCCCUUCUAAGUAUUUGUCUCUGUUUCCUGUUCACUGUAACUCUUUCAAUCGAAUAUAUGCCUUUAUGACACUCUUUGGAUCGACAGAAACUCGUAAAACCACGCUGACCCAGGCUGACCCGUGCCAUGCCGCUCUCGUGUGCACAUGUCUGUAAAUGUCCGGUGCAAGUGCCGUUAUGUAGAUCUUAUGUAGUGAGAAUCCUGUGCGAGACGUUGAAGAAAAGUGGCGUAACACCCCGGAACUUCCUGUUGAGUCUUGAUCGAGAAGAGAGAAACAAAAACCAAAAAAAAAAAAACAGUCCGAUUCAGAAAACGUCCUCCAGCGCCUGACAGAUCUGCGCGAAAACCUCGUCCGGCGACCGCUCUGCGUCGAUCUGCGGAGACAGACACAACAUGGCCGCCGUGAAACACAUUUAAGAAGAUCGA
ensembl:lncRNA